UUAAACUGAAGAGUUUGAUCAUGGCUCAGAUUGAACGCUGGCGGCAGGCCUAACACAUGCAAGUCGAGCGGUAGCAGAACUAGCUUGCUAGUUGCUGACAAGCGGCGGACGGGUGCGUAACACGUAGGAAUCUACCCAGUAGCGGGGGAUAGCCCGGAGAAAUCCGGAUUAA
rnacentral:rRNA from 1 species